rnacentral:SRP_RNA from 2 species
GCUGGGUGUGGUGGCGGGCACCUGUAGUCCCAGCUACUCGGGAGGCUGAAGCAGGAGAAUGGCGUGAACCUGGGAGGCGGAGCUUGCAGUGAGCCGAGAUUGCGCCGCUGCGCGCCAGCUUGGGUGACAGCUCUGUCACCCAAGCUGGCGCGCAGCGGCGCAAUCUCGGCUCACUGCAACCUCCGCCUCCCAGGUUCAACCAAUCUUCCUGCCUCAG